rnacentral:tRNA from 7 species
GGCGACAUGGCCGAGUGGUUAGGCAGAGGUCUGCAAAACCUCGUACGGCGGUUCGAAUCCGCCUGUCGCCU